GAUGAACGCUGGCGGCGUGCUUAACACAUGCAAGUCGAACGAUGAAGCCCAGCUUGCUGGGUGGAUUAGUGGCGAACGGGUGAGUAACACGUGAGUAACCUGCCCUUCACUCUGGGAUAAGCCUGGGAAACUGGGUCUAAUACCGGAUAGGAGCGUCCACCGCAUGGUGGGUGUUGGAAAGAUUUAUCGGUUUUGGAUGGAUUCGCGGCCUAUCAGCUUGUUGGUGAGGUAAUGGCUCACCAAGGCGACGACGGGUAGCCGGCCUGAGAGGGUGACCGGCCACACUGGGACUGAGAGACGGCCCAGACUCCUACGGGAGGCAGCAGUGGGGAAUAUUGCACAAUGGGCGCAAGCCUGAUGCAGCGACGCCGCGUGAGGGAUGACGGCCUUCGGGUUGUAAACCUCUUUCAGUAGGGAAGAAGCGAAAGUGACGGUACCUGCAGAAGAAGCACCGGCUAACUACGUG
rnacentral:rRNA from 1 species